rnacentral:rRNA from 1 species
GAUGAACGCUGGCGGUGUGCCUAAUACAUGCCAGUCGAGCGAACAGACGAGGAGCUUACUCCUCUGACGUUAGCGGCGGACGGGUGAGUAACACGUGGAUAACCUACCUAUAAGACUGGGAUAACUUCGGGAAACCGGAGCUAAUACCGGAUAACAUGUUGAACCGCAUGGUUCAACAGUGAAAGACGGUCUUGCUGUCACUUAUAGAUGGAUCCGCGUCGCAUUAGCUAGUUGGUAAGGUAACGGCUUACCAAGGCAACGAUGCGUAGCCGACCUGAGAGGGUGAUCGGCCACCCUGGAACUGAGACACGGUCCAGACUCCUACGGGAGGCAGCAGUAGGGAAUCUUCCGCAAUGGGCGAAAGCCUGACGGAGCAACGCCGCGUGAGUGAAGAAGGUCUUCGGAUCGUAAAACUCUGUUAUUAGGGAAGAACAAAUGUGUAAGUAACUAUGCACGUCUUGACGGUACCUAAUCAGAAAGCCACGGCUAACUACGUG